rnacentral:rRNA from 1 species
AGCGAACGCUGGCGGCAGGCCUAACACAUGCAAGUCGAACGAUCCUUCGGGAUAGUGGCGGACGGGUGAGUAACACGUGGGAACGUGCCCUUUGGUUCGGAAUAACUCAGGGAAACUUGAGCUAAUACCGGAUGUGCCCUUCGGGGGAAAGAUUUAUCGCCAUUGGAGCGGCCCGCGUUGGAUUAGCUAGUUGGUGGGGUAAAGGCCCACCAAGGCUACGAUCCAUAGCUGGUCUGAGAGGAUGAUCAGCCACACUGGGACUGAGACACGGCCCAGACUCCUACGGGAGGCAGCAGUGGGGAAUCUUGCGCAAUGGGCGAAAGCCUGACGCAGCCAUGCCGCGUGAAUGAUGAAGGUCUCAGGAUUGUAAAAUUCUUUCACCGGGGACGAUAAUGACGGUACCCGGAGAAGAAGCCCCGGCUAACUUCGUGCCAGCCGCCGCCGUAAUAC